rnacentral:lncRNA from 15 species
CACAACUGUGAAGGAACUUCACUUCUCCAUACGUCGUUGAUCUGUCUGCUCAGAUGACCUGAAGAAAAUAGUUUCUGCCUCUCCUGACACACAAAGAUGGCUGCAGCUCUGACUCUCCUUCUCAUUGGCUGUCUGCUGCAGAGUGUCCACUGUGGAGAGUUUAAGGUCAAUAUGCCGGAGACUAUAGAUGUUCUCAGGGGAUCCUGUGUGACCAUCCCCUGCUCCUUUGAUGUAGAGGACAAAUAUAGAUCAAAAUUAAAUGGAACCUGUAAAGCAAUGUGGAAGAAGGAUCAUGAUGUUGUUGUGUUUGAUAGCAGUAAUCCACAAUCGUCUACAAUAAAAGGAAAUUUGACAGGAGACUUAACAAAAAGAGACUGCACCACAACCCUGAACAACAUGCAACCUGAACACAGCAACAAAUAUUACCUCAGAGUGGAAUGUAACGAUCGCCUGAAACAUAAUUUUAUUGGACAAAAGUUGAACAUUACAGUCAAAGGUAUGUUUUGUUAUUUACACUUUAGUCAUUCAUUUCUCAUGUACAACUGCCUUGACCUUGCAAUUCAUGUAAAUAAUGAAGAAGAAUUACAUUUUUACUGACUGGUCAAAAUGUACCUUCCCACCAGAUGAUCCUCUCAGACCGACUCUGACUCCGUCCACACUGGAGGUGAAGGAGGGAACCUCAGUGAGUUUGAAGUGCUCUGCUCCAACUCCCUGUCUGUCUCAUCCUCCAACUCUGACAUGGACCCCCAGCCUGGGUCACAGUCAGGAGACACUGGAGGAGAAUCAGAACAAAACUAAAGUCAAGACCUCUGUUGUGACCUUCACUGCUUCUCACCUCCAUCACAGACAGGAAAUCUCCUGUACUGCCGUCUACAACAAACAAGAUGGCAGCACUGAGUCAUCUGUUAGCACAAGUUUAACAGCUGAUAUUUCAUGUGAGUUGUAUUUUUCCUCUACUGUAAUUAACCAUUUUAAAC